GACGAACGCUGGCGGCGUGCCUAAUACAUGCAAGUUGAGCGCUGAAGGUUGGUCCUUGUACCAACUGGAUGAGCAGCGAACGGGUGAGUAACGCGUGGGGAAUCUGCCUUUGAGCGGGGGACAACAUUUGGAAACGAAUGCUAAUACCGCAUAAAAACUUUAAACACAAGUUUUAAGUUUGAAAGAUGCAAUUGCAUCACUCAAAGAUGAUCCCGCGUUGUAUUAGCUAGUUGGUGAGGUAAAGGCUCACCAAGGCGAUGAUACAUAGCCGACCUGAGAGGGUGAUCGGCCACAUUGGGACUGAGACACGGCCCAAACUCCUACGGGAGGCAGCAGUAGGGAAUCUUCGGCAAUGGACGAAAGUCUGACCGAGCAACGCCGCGUGAGUGAAGAAGGUUGUCGGAUCGGAAAACUCUGUUGGUAGAGAAGAACGUUGGUGAGAGUGGAAAGCUCAUCAAGUGACGGUAACUACCCAGAAAGGGACGGCUAACUACGUG
rnacentral:rRNA from 1 species